rnacentral:rRNA from 1 species
GCAGUUGAGGGGUAGAGUAGCAAUACUUGAGACCGGCGCACGGGUGCGUAACGCGUAUGCAAUCUACCUUUUACAGAGGGAUAGCCCAGAGAAAUUUGGAUUAAUACCUCAUAGUAUAUAGAGUUGGCAUCAACAUUAUAUUAAAGUCACAACGGUAAAAGAUGAGCAUGCGUCCCAUUAGCUAGUUGGUAAGGUAACGGCUUACCAAGGCUACGAUGGGUAGGGGUCCUGAGAGGGAGAUCCCCCACACUGGUACUGAGACACGGACCAGACUCCUACGGGAGGCAGCAGUGAGGAAUAUUGGACAAUGGGCGCAAGCCUGAUCCAGCCAUGCCGCGUGCAGGAUGACGGUCCUAUGGAUUGUAAACUGCUUUUGCACAGGAAGAAACAUCCCGACGUGUCGGGACUUGACGGUACUGUGAGAAUAAGGAUCGGCUAACUCCGUGCCAGCAGCCGCGGUAAUACGGAGGAUCCAAGCGUUAUCCGGAAUCAUUGGGUUUAAAGGGUCCGUAGGCGGUUUGGUAAGUCAGUGGUGAAAGCCCAUCGCUCAACGGUGGAACGGCCAUUGAUACUGCCAGACUUGAAUUAUUAGGAAGUAACUAGAAUAUGUAGUGUAGCGGUGAAAUGCUUAGAGAUUACAUGGAAUACCAAUUGCGAAGGCAGGUUACUACUAAUGGAUUGACGCUGAUGGACGAAAGCGUGGGUAGCGAACAAGAUUAGAUACCCUGGUAGUC